UACAGAGGUCUCAAGCGUUGUUCGGAUUCAUUGGGCGUAAAGCGCGCGUAGGUGGCCUCAUAAGUCCGCUGUGAAAGUCCAAGGCUCAACCUUGGAAAGCCGGUGGAUACUGUGAGGCUAGAGUACGGAAGAGGCGAGUGGAAUUCCUGGUGUAGCGGUGGAAUGCGCAGAUAUCAGGAGGAACACCAAUAGCGAAGGCAGCUCGCUGGGACGUUACUGACACUGAGGCGCGAAAGCGUGGGGAGCGAACAGG
rnacentral:rRNA from 1 species